rnacentral:misc_RNA from 1 species
AACCAUUCUCACCUGCGGCUAGACCUGCGGAAGGAUCAUUAGUGAAGAUUCAAGGGCCAGCCAUACAGACGUACAAUAAGUGUGUCUCUGGCGGCUCGCAUCCACUAUACAUCCAUAAACCCGUGUGCACUGUUCUAAGGAGUAAGAAAGAAGAAGGGGAGGGGAGAGAGAGUGCAUGUGCUUUGCAUAUAACUCUCUCUCACUCUCCACUCUCUUUCUCUCUCCGGUUAAUUACAAACU